CUAUUUAAAGAUUCCGCCCCUUCUUUUGUUGUUGUAUUUAAUUAUUUAAGGUUUCAGUUUUAUUUAACUUAACUUUCAGAGUUUCUUCUUUGAUAAACUAGAACCUUGUAAUGGUUGUAACUAAAUAGUUCUAACUUCACUCCAGGGAACAACUCAAAAAGGGUUUCUUUCUUUUUUUUUUUCAUUUUUUAGAACUUUUGUGUUUGUGUUGUCGUAAUUUUAGGUUUUUUCUUUUUU
rnacentral:lncRNA from 1 species